CCGUGGAGCCGGAGCUCCGGACCCGCCUCCGCGGGACAGCAGAGGGCGCCCGCGCACCGCCCGCCACGGGGCCUGAGGGGCCGCGUCGUGCACCGCGGGACCCCCACAGCCCAUACAGCUUUGGAAUCCCCGGUACCCCUAAAGCCCAUACAGCCCCUGCAAUCCCCGCUGUCCCCGCGUUCCGGAACCCCCACGGCUCACAUAGCCCCUGCAAUCCCCGCUGCCCCACAGCCUCCGCCCCGGGUGCGGGAGCAGCGCCGGCCCAGGGGCUGUUCGGCCAGCGGGUACCGCUUGCACGGCGGGCUCAGCUUGUUCAAACAUUGCUCCGGUGGACCACCCCCCCAGGGGUGUCUCUUGGCGCAGGUAACACGGAGAUGGUUGUGCAAGGCAGCUCCGAUCACCUUUCCUCUGGCUGCCCGGCCAGAUCAACCCAAAUUUGGAUUGUUAUUUACAGCUUCACAGUUACUCUUAACAUUUUUUCCUGGAGGCUCUUGGGCUUAAAACUUUGUUGCUGUGUUCAAGCUUAUAUUAGCAAGCUUUUUAGUGGCUUUGUGUGUUAUAUUACAGCUGUGCCACUCGAGUGA
rnacentral:lncRNA from 1 species